rnacentral:sRNA from 1 species
AGAGGCUGCCGAAGAUGGCGGAGGUGCAGGUCCUGGUGCUUGAUGGUCGAGGCCAUCUCCUGGGCCGCCUGGCGGCCAUCGUGGCUAAACAGGUACUGCUGGGUAAGUCGCUGCUCGCGGCCCCUCUGUCAUGGGCCCCCGCUGGAGGUCAGUGAUGAGCAACAUUCACCAUCUUUCGUUUGAGUCUCACGGCCAUGAGAUCAACCCCAUGCACCGCUCUGAGACCUGCCAGCCACUCUUCCCCAGGGUUGGGGACUCCAGGCUCAAGAAGUAAUUAUGUAUUAGGCUAGUUUUUCAUUUUAACAUGAACUUAGCUCUGGCGAGUACUGCGCUGUGUCUGGAGGGUUGACUGCAUAGGCAAUGGUGGGACCCUCAGGCGGCUCGGCCCUGCUAAGCCUUUCCCUCCCUCUAGGCCGGAAGGUGGUGGUCGUACGCUGUGAAGGCAUCAACAUUUCUGGCAAUUUCUACAGAAACAAGUUGAAGUACCUGGCUUUCCUCCGCAAGCGGAUGAACACCAACCCUUCCCGAGGCCCCUACCACUUCCGGGCCCCCAGCCGCAUCUUCUGGCGGACCGUGCGAGGUAUGCUGCCCCACAAAACCAAGCGAGGCCAGGCCGCUCUGGACCGUCUCAAGGUGUUUGACGGCAUCCCACC